UACGUAGGGUGCAAGCGUUGUCCGGAAUUAUUGGGCGUAAAGAGCUCGUAGGCGGUUUUGUUGCGUCGGCUGUGAAAUCCCGAGGCUCAACCUCGGGUCUGCAGUCGAUACGAGCAAACUAGAGUGUUGCAGGGGGAGACUGGAAUUCCUGGUGUAGCGGUGAAAUGCGCAGAUAUCAGGAGGAACACCGGUGGCGAAGGCGGGGUCUCUGGGGCAACAACUGACGCUGAGGAGCGAAAGCGUGGGGAGCGAACAGG
rnacentral:rRNA from 1 species